rnacentral:rRNA from 1 species
AGUGAACGCUGGCGGUAGGCCUAACACAUGCAAGUCGAACGGCAGCACAGUAAGAGCUUGCUCUUACGGGUGGCGAGUGGCGGACGGGUGAGGAAUACAUCGGAAUCUACUUUUUCGUGGGGGAUAACGUAGGGAAACUUACGCUAAUACCGCAUACGACCUACGGGUGAAAGCAGGGGAUCUUCGGACCUUGCGCGAUUGAAUGAGCCGAUGUCGGAUUAGCUAGUUGGCGGGGUAAAGGCCCACCAAGGCGACGAUCCGUAGCUGGUCUGAGAGGAUGAUCAGCGACACUGGAACUGAGACACGGUCCAGACUCCUACGGGAGGCAGCAGUGGGGAAUAUUGGACAAUGGGCGCAAGCCUGGUCCAGCCAUACCGCGUGAGUGAAGAAGGCCUUCGGGUUGUAAAGCCCUUUUGUUGGGAAAGAAAAGCAGCAGGUUAAUACCCCGCUGUUCUGACGGUACCCAAAGAAUAAGCACCGGCUAACUUCGUG